CUUGCUCCUCUGACGUUAGCGGCGGACGGGUGAGUAACACGUGGAUAACCUACCUAUAAGACUGGGAUAACUUCGGGAAACCGGAGCUAAUACCGGAUAAUAUAUUGAACCGCAUGGUUCAAUAGUGAAAGACGGUUUUGCUGUCACUUAUAGAUGGAUCCGCGCCGCAUUAGCUAGUUGGUAAGGUAACGGCUUACCAAGGCAACGAUGCGUAGCCGACCUGAGAGGGUGAUCGGCCACACUGGAACUGAGACACGGUCCAGACUCCUACGGGAGGCAGCAGUAGGGAAUCUUCCGCAAUGGGCGAAAGCCUGACGGAGCAACGCCGCGUGAGUGAUGAAGGUCUUCGGAUCGUAAAACUCUGUUAUUAGGGAAGAACAAAUGUGUAAGUAACUAUGCACGUCUUGACGGUACCUAAUCAGAAAGCCACGGCUAACUACGUGCCAGCAGCCGCGGUAAUACGUAGGUGGCAAGCGUUAUCCGGAAUUAUUGGGCGUAAAGCGCGCGUAGGCGGUUUUUUAAGUCUGAUGUGAAAGCCCACGGCUCAACCGUGGAGGGUCAUUGGAAACUGGAAAACUUGAGUGCAGAAGAGGAAAGUGGAAUUCCAUGUGUAGCGGUGAAAUGCGCAGAGAUAUGGAGGAACACCAGUGGCGAAGGCGACUUUCUGGUCUGUAACUGACGCUGAUGUGCGAAAGCGUGGGGAUCAAACAGGAUUAGAUACCCUGGUAGUCCACGCCGUAAACGAUGAGUGCUAAGUGUUAGGGGGUUUCCGCCCCUUAGUGCUGCAGCUAACGCAUU
rnacentral:rRNA from 1 species